rnacentral:rRNA from 1 species
AUUGAACGCUGGCGGCAGGCUUAACACAUGCAAGUCGAGCGAGCGGCGGACGGGUGGUUAAGGUCUGUGAAACUGCCUGAUGGAUGGCUAUAACAACUGGAAACGGUAGCUAAUACCGCAUACCACCAGAUGUACCCAGAUGGGAUUAGCUAGUAGGAGGGGUAAUGGCUCACCUAGGCGACGAUCCCUAGCUGGGCUGAGAGGAUGACCAGCCACACUGGAACUGAGACACGGUCCAGACUCCUACGGGAGGCAGCAGUGGGGAAUAUUGCACAAUGGGGGCAAGCCUGAUGCAGCCAUGCCGCGUGUGUGAAGAAGGCCUUCGGGUUGUAAAGCACUUUCGGCGAGGAGGCGUUACCCGCAGAAGAAGCACCGGCUAACUCCGUGCCAGCAGCCGCGGUAAUAC